GACGAACGCUGGCGGCGUGCUUAACACAUGCAAGUCGAGCGGUAAGGCCCUUCGGGGUACACGAGUGGCGAACGGGUGAGUAACACGUGGGUAAUCUGCCCUGCACUUCGGGAUAAGCCUGGGAAACUGGGUCUAAUACCGGAUAUUCAGUUCCUGCCGCAUGGUGGGGGUUGGAAAGUUUUUCGGUGCAGGAUGAGCCCGCGGCCUAUCAGCUUGUUGGUGGGGUAAUGGCCUACCAAGGCGACGACGGGUAGCCGGCCUGAGAGGGUGAUCGGCCACACUGGGACUGAGACACGGCCCAGACUCCUACGGGAGGCAGCAGUGGGGAAUAUUGCACAAUGGGCGCAAGCCUGAUGCAGCGACGCCGCGUGAGGGAUGACGGUCUUCGGAUUGUAAACCCCUUUCAGUAGGGACGAAGCGCAAGUGACGGUACCUGCAGAAGAAGCACCGGCCAACUACGUG
rnacentral:rRNA from 1 species